rnacentral:rRNA from 1 species
GAUGAACGCUAGCGGCAGGCCUAACACAUGCAAGUCGAGGGGGAGGUUACUUUCGGGUAACUGAGACCGGCGUACGGGUGCGUAACGCGUAUACAAUCUGCCUUUCACUGGGGGAUAGCCCGAAGAAAUUUGGAUUAAUACCCCAUAGUAUAGUAAUACGGCAUCGUGAUGCUAUUAAAGCUUAGGUGGUGGAAGAUGAGUAUGCGUUCUAUUAGCUAGUUGGAGAGGUAACGGCUCCCCAAGGCGAUGAUAGAUAGGGGUUCUGAGAGGGAUGUCCCCCACACUGGUACUGAGAUACGGACCAGACUCCUACGGGAGGCAGCAGUGAGGAAUAUUGGACAAUGGUCGGAAGACUGAUCCAGCCAUGCCGCGUGCAGGAUGAAGGUCUUAUGGAUUGUAAACUGCUUUUGUAAGGGAAGAAUAAGGGCUACGCGUAGUUUGAUGACGGUACCUUACGAAUAAGCAUCGGCUAACUCCGUG